rnacentral:lncRNA from 1 species
GGCCGUCAGCCUCCCGGCCCCGCCCCGGAGGCCUCCGGUCGCCUGGCUCCGGCCCCACCCCGCCAUCCCCUGGCCCUGGCUGACUCGCCACCCCCGACACUGCAGCGCCUGCCGACCUCGGGGCCCCGCCCUCUGCCUUCGCUCGCGCCGCUCUCCUUCAGUCUCCCCAGGGCCUGUUUCAUGGAUAGGGUCCCCUUGCCCGCGUGAAAGUCUCAUUCCUCCUCAGCUCAGAAACACUCCAAGGUGCGGGGACUCGUGGAAGGAUUUGAUUCGCGCUUGAGAAAGAUCGCUCCGCUCCUGUAAGGAAGAGAGCGUGUAGGGGCUGCAACCAGAGACACAGUCAGAAGCUCCGAGGCUACCGCGAUGGUCCAGGUGCCACAGGACACAGCCUAACAGAGGCCCAGGUUGGAGCCAUGGACCAUGGAGUCAUGAGAAUGGAAGGGAAGCUGACGCCAUGUGGGAUGGGGUAGAACUGUCCGCAAAUUCGUCCCGCCUCUGGAGUCUUCAGACCAGUCAAGGCCGAAAUUCAACCAAGCCUCUCCUCUCUCUAGCUGUUAUUUGUUUGCAGCACGCGGUCUGGUGGCACCCUGCAGGAUUUACCAGCUUUUUGCCAACAUUCUGGCCUAUGCAAUCAAUACGUCCCUUCAGCGUUGCACUUGGAUGGAUUGGACCUAUAGUUGUUAUAUAUGGAUAUUGUCUAAUUUAUUUAUUACAGUAUUAACUGACUCCUAUGUUCUGGCCUUCAGAAUUUCUCCUUUGGAUCAAUUACUAGCCUGUCUUACAUUUUCUGCUUCAUUCUUUUAAAAUGUUUAGAGAUGAUUUGCUAAGUUUUCUUCAUUGCUGUCAAUGAUGCAAUUUAAACUGUCAAAAAAAUUUUUUCUCAAGCAGGGUAGUAAUGGUGAACCAUUCCCUUGCUAUUCAGACAGCAUGGUUUAGAUGAGGCGCACCUAUCCCCAGCUUUAGGAAUGGAAACAGGACCCAAGUCUGGCUAAUCAGAGACUGGUUUAGGGUCGGCCCCAUGGUCUGAGCCAGACCAAUGAGAAUUGGUAGAGGGACUUCCUUUUGCAACUUCUAUUUUAGAAUCGGGGGUAUAUAUGCAGGCUUGUUACAGAGGUAUAUUGCAUGGUGCUGAGGUUUGGAGUAUGAACGAAUCCGUCCUUCAGGUAAUGAGCAUAGUACCCAAUAGGUAGUUUCAACCCUUGCCCCCUUCCUCCUUCCCCAGUCUUGUAUUCCCCAGUGUCUGUUGUUCCCAGACAUUGAUCUUUUUCCUCUAUGUUGCUAAGCUGGUAGAAAGGCUGGAGUUGCUGGCAACCAUCUUUGCAACCAUGCAGGGAGAACUACUUUGGAAAUGAAGCAAGAUAAAGAAGAAAACAGAUAAAAGGAGACAAAUGUUUGACUUUGUACAGCUGGAAACCAGCAAUGCUGGAAAUGAGCACUGAAGGCAGUUUAAUGGGUUUGUCACUUGUAACCAAGUGACCCAUGGCAAGCUCACAGAUUUGUAUUGGCAGAAUUCCUCCUUUUCUUUAUUUAAAAUGGUACUUUUGGCCAGGCAAGGUGGUUCACACCUGUAAUCCAAAGACUUUGGGAGGCCGAGGCGCACUGAUCACCCAAGGUCAGAAGUUCGAGAACAGCCUGGCCAACAUUGGCGAAACCCCAUCUCUACUAAAAAUACAAACCAUUAGCUGGCUGCGGUGGCCUUUCUACCAGCUUUUUGUCUCAAAAAAAAAAAAAAAAAAGGUACUUUUGCUUAUCUCUAACCUUCCUCUUCCCCAUAAUUUAACAGUUGCCCAUACUAUCUGUUACUCUGAGCUACUCUCUGCCCCAUUCUCCUCCUCUUAUCUUCAGUUCCUCCUAGGCUGUCAGAGCCAUCUGAAAUGAAAACAUUUAGGCCGGGCAUAGUGGUUCAUGCCUGUAAUCCCAGCACUUUGGGAGGCUGAGGCAGGCGGAUCAGCUGAGGUCAGGAGUUCAAGACCACCCUGGUCAACAUGGUGAAACCCCAUCUCUACUAAAAAUACAAAAAUUAUCCAGACAUGGUGGCACAUGCCUCUACUCCCAGCUACUUGGGAGGCUGAGGCAGGAGAAUCGCUUGAACCUAGGAGGCAGGGGUUGCAGUGAGCCGAGAUUGAGCCACUGCACUCUAGCCUGGGCGACAGAGUGAGACUUUGUCUAAAAAACAUAAAUAAAAUAAAAUGAAAUGAAAACAUUUGCUACUUGAAAUCCUUCAGAUUCCCCAUCGCCUACCUACAGGCAAAACUCUCAAGUUCUUUUGUAUGAUUUAACCACUAUCUACCUGUCCAACUGAAAUCUACCCUUCAGUAAUAUUAUACUUGCACCUCCCUUCAUAAGCUAUGCUACAAGUUUGGUUAUGCAGUUGCCCACCUUUUAAGGUUCAAGCCUUGUCUUCUCCAAAGAGCCACCUCUGACUGCCUCACAGUAAGCUUAGGGCCCGCAACUUACCUGUAACUUUUGUUGCACUUAUGGCCUUUUACAACUAUCAAUUUAUGUAUGUGUCUGUUCUCACUGGUUUAUAAGCUCCCUGAGGACAGAGCCUUGCUUGAGUCAUCUGUCAGCAGCCCAAUAUGGGACAAAAAGUGCAUGCAUUGUAAUUACUGAACAGAACUGAUAGAGGCUCAGCAAUUUGCGCUCCAUAGGUCUAAGUUUGAACUUUUCUAGAAAAGGAUUUGCAGGACGAUCUGACGAAUCUUGGGCUUCCAAAUUAGUUCCAACAGUUCUAGUAUUUUUUUUUUUUUUUGACAGAAGCAAAUAAGUAAGUUUUACUUUGUGAUUAAAACAAAAGUGAAAUGCAUUUAGUCCCAGGAAAUGUCAAUCCUUUCUGCAUCUUACUUUUUUUUGCUGUGACCUCGAGAUUCUCUUGUUCUCUUCAGUUGUAUUGGUCCAUGAUCACUCAUAGCUUUCAUACACAUAUAUACAUCUGAAACUCAGAAAAUUCAUUAGGUAGGAACUCUUUGGAUGCAUCUCCUUUUUUAACCUCAUUGGGAUGAUUUUUCGUUGCACCAUCAUUUUAUAGAGCUUCCUAGCACUGCUGAGCAUGCAGAAUUUUUGCAAAUGCAAUCCAGAGAAACAGACUUGCUAUAUACUAGCUAUUUGAACUUGUCUGAGCUUAUGUGGCAUGGUCUAAAGAAUACUGAAAUAUUUCUGGCAUACCUCUUAAUUGCAGUCACUUUCUCCAGGUUGCUUUAUGGAUUAAAUGAGAUAACCUACUAAAGGACUCCAGUAAAAAGCUAAAAAGGUAGCUAGCUUUUGAGGUGUUGUGGCAGACUGGCAUCUAGUGGCCAGCGAUAAAGGUGCAGACUAGUGUCCACACCUAAGUGGGGACAGUGCAGGCUGUAAUGUCCAUACCUAGUGGGGACAUCAAUGGGGUAUUUGUCAGAGAAGCUCCAUGGCAUAGUUUGGACAUUGUUUCUGGCUGUGCAGGUUCAAACCCAGAGUCUGGCUCUCCCAAAGAUUAUCUGAGUUAUUCUAUUAUUUUACAAAGUUUGAAAUAGCCAUUAGAUACCCUUACAAACUUAUCAUUUUUGUGAUUGAUUUUAAGUCUACUGAAAAUGUCAAAAGAAAUCCAAAACUGAUUGCUAGUAACUAGGCCAGGUGUGGUGGCUCACACCUGUAAUCCCAGCACUUUGGGGCCGGGGCAGGCAGAUUGCUUGAGCUCAGGAGUUCGAGACCAGCCUGGGCAACAUGGCAAAACUCCAUAUUUACAAAAAAUACAAAAAAUUAGCCGGACAUGAUGGUGUGUGCCUGUUGUCCCCGCUACUAGAAGGCUCAGAAAGAAGGAUCACUUGAGCCUGGGAGGCGGAGGUUGCAGUGAGCCAAGACUGUGCCACUGCACUCCAACCUGGGCAACAGAGACCCCAGCUCAAAAAAAUAAAAUUAGUGUUAACUUGUACUGUUUAGCCACAUUCAUUAAGUUUUUAAUUUUAACUCUACUAUCGCACAACCAGGAAUGUACAAGAGAUCUGGAGCCUGAUUUGCAUGGCAGGAAGGAGACCACGUAUUUUUGUUUGGGAUGGGUUUUAGCCACUAUCAGAGACAUAGUUUGUUUCUUA